rfam:Morus notabilis contig46836, whole genome shotgun sequence.
GUGUUUCUUAGAAAGGAGAGAUGGUUGACAACCCUGACAGGGAUGGGAUCAACCUUCGGGUUUCCCUGUUAAAGAAUUUU